rnacentral:rRNA from 1 species
GAUGAACGCUGGCGGCGUGCCUAAUACAUGCAAGUCGUACGGAAAGGCCCUUCGGGGUACUCGAGUGGCGGACGGCUGAGUAACGCGUGGGAACGUGCCCCAAAGUGAGGGAUAACGCACCGAAAGGUGUGCUAAUACCGCAUAUGGUCUUCGGAUUAAAGCUUCGGCGCUUUGGGAGCGGCCCGCGUACGAUUAGAUAGUUGGUGAGGUAAUGGCUCACCAAGUCGACGAUCGUUAGCUGGUCUGAGAGGAUGAUCAGCCAGACUGGGACUGAGACGCGGCCCAGACUCCUACGGGAGGCAGCAGUAAGGAAUCUUCCACAAUGGGGGCAACCCUGAUGGAGCAACGCCGCGUGCAGGAUGAAGGUUUUCGGAUCGUAAACUGCUUUUAUAAGUGAAGAAUAUGACGGUAACUUAUGAAUAAGGAUCGGCUAACUACGUGCCAGCAGCCGCAGUAAUAC